UGCCGCGUGCGGGAAGAAGGCCUUCGGGUUGUAAACCGCUUUUGUCAGGGAAGAAAUCUUCUGGGUUAAUACCUCGGGAGGAUGACGGUACCUGAAGAAUAAGCACCGGCUAACUACGUGCCAGCAGCCGCGGUAAUACGUAGGGUGCAAGCGUUAAUCGGAAUUACUGGGCGUAAAGCGUGCGCAGGCGGUUAUAUAAGACAGAUGUGAAAUCCCCGGGCUCAACCUGGGAACUGCAUUUGUGACUGUAUAGCUAGAGUGCGGCAGAGGGGGAUGGAAUUCCGCGUGUAGCAGUGAAAUGCGUAGAUAUGCGGAGGAACACCGAUGGCGAAGGCAAUCCCCUGGGCCUGCACUGACGCUCAUGCACGAAAGCGUGGGGAGCAAACAGGAUUAGAUACCCUGGUAGUCCACGCCCUAAACGAUGUCAACUGGUUGUUGGGAGGGUUUCUUCUCAAUAACGUANCUAACG
rnacentral:rRNA from 1 species